UACUGUGACAAAAAGACGAGUUAGCAGUUAUUUCUUGUUAAAUUACCUCACGAAAACACAACUACUAGGAGUUACAGGUGAUUUCUGUGGCAAGGGCAGUGCUGAAUGCUAUUGCUGAAAUGGCUCGCAGGACUGCCUCAAGGAUCUGACAGGAGGAAUUGAGUAUGCUGCCAAGAUAUUAAAUGAAAUUCCCCAGAAAGACAUUCAGUGCACUAAAAGAGCCUCAAAGGCAGAAAGGGAAGGAAAUGGGCAAGGAGAAACAUCGGUAAGGAACUGUACUAGAAGAGAUGAAAGGUCCCUUGAGCCUGUGCUUUGUCUCCAGUGCAGGGCAGUGAUAGAUACGUGGGUUGAAGAUAGGAACAGGGCAAGCACAUAGAGAUGUUCUUCAGAACUGUGUUUCUUAGCUGUCUGUGGCUUGAAACCUUUCUGAACCACGUGGAUUUAUCUACUUGGGUUUUGAA